rnacentral:rRNA from 1 species
AUGAACGCUGGCGGCGUGCCUAAUACAUGGCAAGUCGAGCGAAUGGAAUUGAGAGCUUGCUCUCAAGAAGUUAGCGGCGGACGGGUGAGUAACACGUGGGUAACCUGCCCAUAAGACUGGGAUAACUCCGGGAAACCGGGGCUAAUACCGGAUAACAUUUUGAACUGCAUGGUUCGAAAUUGAAAGGCGGCUUCGGCUGUCACUUAUGGAUGGACCCGCGUCGCAUUAGCUAGUUGGUGAGGUAACGGCUCACCAAGGCAACGAUGCGUAGCCGACCUGAGAGGGUGAUCGGCCACACUGGGACUGAGACACGGCCCAGACUCCUACGGGAGGCAGCAGUAGGGAAUCUUCCGCAAUGGACGAAAGUCUGACGGAGCAACGCCGCGUGAGUGAUGAAGGCUUUCGGGUCGUAAAACUCUGUUGUUAGGGAAGAACAAGUGCUAGUUGAAUAAGCUGGCACCUUGACGGUACCUAACCAGAAAGCCACGGCUAACUACGUGCCAACAGCCGCGGUAAUACCUAGGUGGCAAGCGUUAUCCGGAAUUAUUGGGCGUAAAGCGCGCGCACGUGGUUUCUUAAGUCUGAUGUGAAAGCCCACGGCUCAACCCUGGAGGGUCAUUGGAAACUGGGAGACUUGAGUGCAGAAGAGGAAAGUGGAAUUCCAUGUGUAGCGGUGAAAUGCGUAGAGAUAUGGAGGAACACCAGUGGCGAAGGCGACUUUCUGGUCUGUAACUGACACUGAGGCGCGAAAGCG